UCCUUACCCUUGGGAAGUGAGCACGCGCAGUGCGUUUAGGAAGUUGUACGCAUACCCAACUGAAGCUUUCUUCCCUUCUCCAAUGGAGUGCACCUGUGCACAGAAACUCUCUCUGUACCACGUACCUGCUGCCAGAAGCUGGGAAGGAGUGGUGCUGGUGAUUCAAAACUGAUUUUCCUGCCUCUUCGAUGCCUCUUUUAGUGACAUACAGUUAAGACCAGGCACUCAUGAUUUUGCCUUGGAGGGGAUAUCAACAGGAAAUAGUUCCUGUAUCAUCAACAGAACAAGCAGCUGGACUGAGGAAACAAAAACACAAAGUCCAAAAUAGUGAUAUUGGCAGGGUAGACAUUACACGCAGGAUACCGGAAGGCCAGUCAGACCAUGAGGGCUUGUGCUGCAACCCCUAAGACAGCUGUGCUUUUUAUGAACUUCUAAGAGUUGACCAACUUUAGUCACAGUUGGAGUUAUUAAAGGCUGAGGACAGAAGACAUAGACUCUCUCCAAAGUGGGCAUUUGCAGUGUGGAAUUAGAGAAAAGAGAAGAAAAAGCCAUUACAGGGGGAAAAUAACGAGAAAAAGAGAGAGCGACCAGGAGAAGAUAUUGAAAAAGCACUGAAGCUCAAGCACAGAUUUACUAGGUCAGAAGGAAACUACUUGCUCAAAAGGAGACCAGAGGAAUGAAAACGUGGUAUAACCAGGAGUUGCGAAGUGGACGUAGUUGUUUCUGUCUCAAUCUAGAUCAUCUUUGCUUUUUGCUUCUGCUUUGUGCUAUCCCUCUUCCCGUACCUCAAUUCUAGCUGGAACCAUGGUCUGUGACUGCCAUGGAAAAGUGUUGGGCAGGAGGAGGCCAGCUGGGUCUUUGAAGUUGACAACGGAGCCAGGAAGGAAAGCUGCACUUAGGAUAAGAAUUGCUUUCCCUGGAGCUAAGUCAGCAAAUGCAGUCUGGUUGUCAG